UACAGAGGUCCCAAGCGUUGUUCGGAUUCACUGGGCGUAAAGGGUGCGCAGGUGGGUUUGCAAGUUCGAUGUGAAAGCCCCGGGCUUAACCCGGGAAUGGCAUUGGAUACUGCAGAUCUGGAGGUUCGGAGGGGGGACUGGAAUUCUUGGUGUAGCAGUGAAAUGCGUAGAUAUCAAGAGGAACACCAGUGGCGAAGGCGAGUCCCUGGACGACACCUGACACUGAGGCACGAAAGCUAGGGGAGCAAACAGG
rnacentral:rRNA from 1 species